rnacentral:rRNA from 1 species
GUAGUCUCGCACAGAUGCAUAUCAAUAAGCGGAGGAAAAGAAACUAACAAGGAUUCCCCUAGUAACGGCGAGUGAAGCGGGAAGAGCUCAAAUUUGAAAUCUUAAAGGGUUUCCCUUUACGAAUUGUAGUUUAAAGAAGUGUUUUCUGUUGAGGUUUUGGUAAAAGUUCUUUGGAAUAGGACAUCAUAGAGGGUGAGAAUCCCGUAUUUGACCUUUACUUUCAACUUUGUGAUACACUUUCAAAGAGUCGGAUUGUUUGGGAAUGCAGUCCAAAAUGGGUGGUAAAUUUCAUCUAAAGCUAAAUAUUGGCGAGAGACCGAUAGCGAACAAGUACCGUGAGGGAAAGAUGAAAGGAACUUUGAAAAGAGAGUUAAACAGUACGUGAAAUUGUCAAAAGGGAAGCGUUUGACACCAGUGUUGUUUUCUCGAAAAUCAAUUAAAAUGAACUCGAUUUAUGUAAUUGCUGUUAGACCUUAUAAGCUCAUCUGUACAGUUUUCUUGUAGCCUUUUCUUUAAUGCACUUUUCAGUUAACAAGUCAACAUCAAUUUCUUUUGUUGUAAAAGGGUCAUUGGAAGGUGGCUUUCUUUUCGGAGAAAGUGUUUAUAGCCUUUGGCCUCUGCAAUCGGAGAGAUUGAGGUCUGCAGCGUAGAUCCUUCGGGGUUAGAUACGUUUGUGCUAAGUUAUAGCUUUUCAUAGACAACUUGUUGACUAUGUUUAGUCUUGUAGCUUACUCGCUGACGCUAUUUUACCUACGCUUAGGAUGUUGAUGUGAUACUGCGAGCA